CCUACGGGGCGCAGCAGUGGGGAAUAUUGGGCAAUGGGCGCAAGCCUGACCCAGCAAUGCCGCGUGAAGGAAGAAGGCCCUCGGGUUGUAAACUUCUUUUAUCAGGGACGAAGGAUGUGACGGUACCUGAUGAAUAAGCUCCGGCUAACUACGUGCCAGCAGCCGCGGUAAUACGUAGGGAGCAAGCGUUAUCCGGAUUUACUGGGUGUAAAGGGGGCGCAGACGGCAGCGCAAGCCAGGAGUGAAAGCCCGGGGCCCAACCCCGGGACUGCUCUUGGAACUGCGCGGCUGGAGUGCAGGAGGGG
rnacentral:rRNA from 1 species